AAAAAUCGUAACAAGGUCUCCGUAGGUGAACCUGCGGAGGGAUCAUUACACAAAUAUGAAGGCGGGCUGGAACCUCUCGGGGUUACAGCCUUGCUGAAUUAUUCACCCUUGUCUUUUGCGUACUUCUUGUUUCCUUGGUGGGUUCGCCCACCACUAGGACAAACAUAAACCUUUUGUAAUUGCAAUCAGCGUCAGUAACAAAUUAAUAAUUACAACUUUCAACAACGGAUCUCUUGGUUCUGGCAUCGAUGAAGAACGCAGCGAAAUGCGAUAAGUAGUGUGAAUUGCAGAAUUCAGUGAAUCAUCGAAUCUUUGAACGCACAUUGCGCCCUUUGGUAUUCCAAAGGGCAUGCCUGUUCGAGCGUCAUUUGUACCCUCAAGCUUUGCUUGGUGUUGGGCGUCUUGUCUCUAGCUUUGCUGGAGACUCGCCUUAAAGUAAUUGGCAGCCGGCCUACUGGUUUCGGAGCGCAGCACAAGUCGCACUCUCUAUCAGCAAAGGUCUAGCAUCCAUUAAGCCUUUUUUUUCAACUUUUGACCUCGGAUCAGGUAGGGAUACCCGCUGAACUUAAGCAUAUCAAUAAGCGGAGGAAAAGAAACCAACAGGGAUUGCCCUAGUAACGGCGAGUGAAGCGGCAACAGCUCAAAUUUGAAAUCUGGCUCUUUUAGAGUCCGAGUUGUAAUUUGCAGAGGGCGCUUUGGCUUUG
rnacentral:rRNA from 1 species